UCAGGCGACGUCUUGAAAAACAUGAGCAU
rnacentral:piRNA from 1 species